rnacentral:rRNA from 1 species
AGUGAACGCUGGCGGUAGGCCUAACACAUGCAAGUCGAACGGCAGCACAGUAAGAGCUUGCUCUUACGGGUGGCGAGUGGCGGACGGGUGAGGAAUACAUCGGAAUCUACUUUUUCGUGGGUGAUAACGUAGGGAAACUUACGCUAAUACCGCAUACGACCUACGGGUGAAAGCAGGGGAUCUUCGUACCUUGCGCGAUUUAAUUAGCCGAUGUCGGAUUAGCUAGUUGGCGGGGUAAAGUCCCACCAAGGCGACGAUCCGUAGCUGGUCUGAGAGGAUGAUCAGACAAACUGGAACUGAGACACGGUCCAGAAUACUACGGGAGGCAGCAGUGGGGAAUAUUGGACAAUGGGGGGAAGCCUGAUCCAGAAAUACCGCGUGGGUGAAGAAGGCCUUCGGGUUGUAAAGCCCUUUUGUUGGGAAAGAAAAGCAGCAGGUUAAUACCCCGCUGUUAUGACGGUACCCAAAGAAUAAGCACCGGCUAACUUCGUG